rnacentral:rRNA from 1 species
CGGCACGGGUGAGUAACACGUAUCCAACCUGCCGUCUACUCUUGGACAGCCUUCUGAAAGGAAGAUUAAUACAAGAUGGCAUCAUGAGUCCGCAUGUUCACAUGAUUAAAGGUAUUCCGGUAGACGAUGGGGAUGCGUUCCAUUAGAUAGUAGGCGGGGUAACGGCCCACCUAGUCUUCGAUGGAUAGGGGUUCGGAGAGGAAGGUCCCCCACAUUGGAACUGAGACACGGUCCAA